UCCCAAGUCUCCCGGAAGUUCCGGGAGUCUCCCGCAUAUUGAUAGCGGCUCCCUGAUGCCCGCAAAUUAGUUAAAAUCUCCCGGAAUCUAGAGCGAGCGAGCAAGAGCGCGCAUAGAGACUGUGUUUCAAACCAGCGCGCGCACGGCAGAGAGGGAUAGGAUAGGGAGCGAGAGAGAGACCUUGCGUGUGUGUGCGAAGCGCAUGUAUGACAGAGAGCAUCCCGAAUGUCCUUUUUCGGCAAAUCAACCAAUCAAUUAUCAGUGAGGUUGGGAUGUCUGCCGAUUUCACGUCAAGCACAGGAGCCCUACCACAAAUGCUGGAGAGUGCCGUCAAAUCCAGCAGUGAAGAUGAACAUCUAAGGGGACUCCCACAAUGGCUUGCUGCUCGGAUAUGCUGUGUGUAUGGAAAGACUGAGGAGUUGAAAGCUGAUUCUACCCUGGAAAGGAGUAAUUUUCUCUUUUAGAGGGGGUGGAAGACCAAGCAGAUACUAUAUUAAAAAGUGCUACACAAUGAUGGUUGUUCUUGCAUAUCUUCUGCCACCGUUGCCUGGAAGUCGAUGCAAUGUUAAAUCUGAAAUUUCAUUUCUUUCAAUUUAAUUUUGUACCGCGUGGAGCCACUAUUGCAUCCCUCUGCAGCAGUUUUGAGACCGCAUCAAAGACCAGACCACAGCCGAUCUACAUUGGAAGUUUGAAGAGCACAGCAUGACAGUACAUCAUUACGAGGAUUGACAGAGUAACCAUUCCUGUGGAUGAGGGCCUGAUGUGCUGUGGACAAUAUAUUCUAGGUGUGAAACUUGUCCUGUCCACCACAGAUUAGUUUGGUCUUUUCUUUCUAAGACUGGAGCAUCUAAUAUUGAAACACCACAUUCUCUUCUUUUUAAAACUGACAUCGUUUCGCUAGAAAACAACCUCUUCUUCAGCUGUGAUUGCGUACAGCCCGUUUAAACACUUCAAAGACUUUUAAAACUGCAUUGAUUUGGACUUAAAAACGAUGGUAACCAAUGAACUCCAUUGUUAGAAGAAAAAUCCAGAAAUGUUUUCCUCAAAAAACAAAAUUUCUCUCCCACUGAGGAAAGAAAGACAUGGAUAUCUUGGAUGGCAUUGGGUGAGUAAAUUAUUAGGAAAUUUUCUUUUUGGGGUGAACUAAUCCUUUAAGCAUACAAUGAACACUCACAGUAGCUUUUAGUCAAUAUAAAGCGUUAUGUUAUCUUAUGUUAUGUUCUUACACUGCAGUAAGUAAUGCAUUCAUAAAGUGAUUCUCUAUUAAAGUUGUUUAAAUGUGAAAAACUUUGUUUAUUAAAGUUUAUUGCAAACGAA